rnacentral:rRNA from 1 species
UGGGGAAUAUUGGACAAUGGGCGAAAGCCUGAUCCAGCCAUGCCGCGUGAGUGAUGACGGCCUUAGGGUUGUAAAGCUCUUUCGCUAGGGACGAUAAUGACGGUACCUAGAUAAGAAGCCCCGGCUAACUUCGUGCCAGCAGCCGCGGUAAUACGAAGGGGGCUAGCGUUGUUCGGAAUUACUGGGCGUAAAGCGCGUGUAGGCGGGCUUUUAAGUCAGGGGUGAAAUGCCAAGGCUCAACCUUGGAACUGCCUUUGAUACUGGAAGUCUUGAGUCCGGGAGAGGUGAGUGGAACUGCGAGUGUAGAGGUGAAAUUCGUAGAUAUUCGCAAGAACACCAGUGGCGAAGGCGGCUCACUGGCCCGGAACUGACGCUGAGACGCGAAAGCGUGGGGAGCAAACAGGAUUAGAUACCCGCGUAGUCC